AUUGAACGCUGGCGGCAGGCUUAACACAUGCAAGUCGAGCGGGGGAAGGUAGCUUGCUACCGGACCUAGCGGCGGACGGGUGAGUAAUGCUUAGGAAUCUGCCUAUUAGUGGGGGACAACAUCUCGAAAGGGAUGCUAAUACCGCAUACGUCCUACGGGAGAAAGCAGGGGAUCUUCGGACCUUGCGCUAAUAGAUGAGCCUAAGUCGGAUUAGCUAGUUGGUGGGGUAAAGGCCUACCAAGGCGACGAUCUGUAGCGGGUCUGAGAGGAUGAUCCGCCACACUGGGACUGAGACACGGCCCAGACUCCUACGGGAGGCAGCAGUGGGGAAUAUUGGACAAUGGGGGGAACCCUGAUCCAGCCAUGCCGCGCGUGUGAAGAAGGCCUUAUGGUUGUAAAGCACUUUAAGCGAGGAGGAGGCUACUUUAGUUAAUACCUAGAGAUAGUGGACGUUACUCGCAGAAUAAGCACCGGCUAACUCUGUGCCAGCAGCCGCUGUAA
rnacentral:rRNA from 1 species